CAAUGAAGGAGCUUAUAAAGCUUCAGAGUAUACUUAUUCACUCGGAUAUUAAGUCUCUUUCAGAAAGGAGUAAUAGUGAGGCACUGUGACUUCCAUUUUAAAGACCAUGUGGCAAGGUGAUGGGAGAGAGGUAAUUAUGAUGGUCAGGUUAAAGGUGGAGAAGUUGAUUGUACGACUUCCCUGGGAGAUUGCUCUGUUCCGGUGUCAAGGUACUGGGUUGGGA
rnacentral:lncRNA from 1 species